rnacentral:lncRNA from 1 species
GCGCCGGUUUCAUUGCUAAAAUCCGACGGACUUGUUGCAGAACUCGUUUUUUUUGUCGGGAAAGGGCUUCCCCGUGUAACUUUACAGCAGUUAUCGUAGAUAAGACUUGCAAAUUACAGAUGUGGACGGUGAGGGAACGGGAAUUUCACUGAAAGCGCCUGAGAACCAGUAAGAGACCUGCAACAGCUUUGUGCUCCACUGGCGAAUGCUUCCUCCCCUAAUACACAUUAUGUGUGCUUGGAGACACAAGGAGUAAGAUACAGCCCCUCAAGGGACUCGUCAUAGGGAGAGGACACAGCUUUGGGAAUAAAGGGGCCACAAAGGAGGAGAGAGGAGUUUGCUGAAACUUCCCAAGCUCCCAUUCCAGCAGUUCCUGAAGGGCUGGACAAUGGAGGAGGCUUGAAACAGUAGCUGGCAAGUGGUAGAAGAGAUGGAGCAGAGAAGCAAGAAGAAGCAGACUCCUCACUCCUUCACCAGGGUGGAUUUGCUGGUUUGAAGCAGACCUGAGUUGGGAGAGGAGAGAGGCGAGAAGUUUUAAUUGGAUGAAAUAUUUCUUUAGACUGGUCUAUACUUUUUUCUUUAUAUCUAAAAUUCACUGGAAGAGCUAUGAAAUCUGUCCAAGAUUUCGUUCAGUUCAGGAAAAACCAAAACCAAAACCAUAACCAGUAAUACACAUGUGACUCAGAUGCCACCAAAGAAGUAUGUGUCCAAGACCUCAAGUUGAAAGCUGUGGACUGCGGAGGGACUCUCUGGUGAAGUUGUUGCAAGCAUGAUUAAUUCAUUGGGGCAGCAAUGGCAGCCAAGCCAGUGGUGGUAUCCUGUGUCCAGGAGUGGUAUUGGUGAUUCAGUUUGCAGCCUCUGAGGUACAAGGAUAAGGAAAAUGGUGACCAGAUCAGUUUUGCUGCCUCAGAUUAGACAUAAUUUCAAGCUGUAUAUCUCUAAUCCUCCUAAUAAUUCUAUGACCUACAUGAUAUCCUUUAAAUAAAUGACUUAUCAUUU